ACGUAGGUGGCGAGCGUUGUCCGGAAUUACUGGGCGUAAAGGGCGCGUAGGCGGCUCUUUAAGUCAGAUGUGAAAACCCAGGGCUUAACUCUGGGACUGCAUUUGAAACUGAAGGGCUUGAGUGCAGGAGAGGUAAGUGGAAUUCCUAGUGUAGCGGUGAAAUGCGUAGAUAUUAGGAGGAACACCAGUGGCGAAGGCGACUUACUGGACUGUAACUGACGCUGAGGCGCGAAAGCGUGGGGAGCAAACAG
rnacentral:rRNA from 1 species